AGAAACUUCCAGAGCUCUAAGAUGCCCUGCCCGGGGUCAGCAGUCUUGUCUGUCCAGCAGCGGCAGCGGAAACAGGAGAGCAAAGAGAAGGAAUGGUCCUGGUGCGGUCGGGUCACCGUCUGCUUCCCAAACCGCACCAGGCUCUGGGGGUGUCGGGUGCCGUCCGUGCCUCGUGGGACUGCUCACGGCUCGCCCGCCCGCCCGCCCGCUCCAAGGCCACCGGCCAGGAACAUUGUAGCUUCUGAGUGUUGGAGCCGUGACUUCCUUCAGGGGACGUUGUCCCCAUCCUCGGAGGGUGGGCACCGCUCGUUCACCGAGACCCGAGCCCGCGACCCCUUCCUCGGCGUGCGGGCCUCUGUGAUACGGCACGUGUCAGCGUGGCUUGUCACAUAAUGAAAUCGCCUGUCAAAACAGAAAGAGACUCUGUUUUCAAGGCCUAAAAAAUUGAUUUUUAUGGCUCUUCUUGUAAUUCUCUUUCUGAAUUAGGCACAUGAUAUUGAUGUGGGCCUACUUUUUAAUCAUAAUAGCGUCUGACAAGGUAAUUAAUUUUAAAACAACUUUUUUCUCUUGGCCCAAAUGGCACUAUAUCGAAAUUAAACGUGAGUGCCGUGAGGGCGGCGGGCCUGGCACUCAGGUGAUUGCCUCGGCCGUGACAGCCCUCCAUCUUGCACACCACGCGACCUUUGGAGAUGGUGGUGGUUAUUGAUGAGCGCGGGCCAUUCCAUCAGAGGAGCAGACGCUGGAAACGUGACCGAGUUUAGGUUUUAAUGAUGGUGUUACAAGAGCCUAGCACUGCUGACGGGACCCCUGCGGGGGCCACGCCGGCUCCUUGCCGGGGCUCCUGUCGGGGGGAGGGAGGGACAGGGCCGCGGGCCACGGGCAUCCCUGUGCGCCUCCAUGGCGACAAGGCCUGAGGAACCUCGCGUUUCUCACUCUAGACACGCUGGAGCUUUUAAACCUCCAUUCAGAUGCUAAAUCUGAAGUUUGUCAGUUUUUUAAAAAAGGAAUUCACCUCCCAACGCCUCGUACCGUUUAUUGGCCAGCAGUGGGCGGCGUCCAUAAUUCCCGUCCCGGGCGUCAGCUGUCCGCACCUUCUGCAGCCCCCGUCCCCUCCCGUCACGUCAGCUCGAUGCCUCGAGCCCCGUGAGGAUGGGUGGCCCGUGUCCAGCACCCCCUCCCCCCCCCCCCCCCGCCCGCCGGAGGCCCUGUGCGCGUGAGCCCGGGGUCUCUGCCGUCUCACGAACGCCCGGCCGCCCGGUGGCCCCAGGCCCGGAGCCGACUUCCUCGCGUGGCCGUCGUCGCCUCCGCCUGCUCCCGCCACAGCCUCCGCGCAUCCCGGAGACCUGGAGUGGCGCCCUGACCCCGGUGGCUUCGCCCACCUUCUGAACUUUCACGGACCCGAGGAAACGCGAAGCGCCGGCCUCGCGCCAGCACAGAGGGCGACCGCAGCGCUUCGUACCAGAGCAGCGUCCUCGAGGAACACGAGUUCCCGUGCCCCCAGCGGACGGAAGCUGGCGGAUCUUAAAGACCAGACGUGUGGACCCUGUGACAUUCGAAGCGUUUGCCCGGCGAGCGGACCCCUCUUCCCUCGGCGAGGGAAAGAUGCAGUGUUUCUUUGGCUCCGUUUUUCUUAAAAACGUAAAUAAAUAAAACAGAAAAGUGAAAAGCC